CAAUAGCGUAUAUUAAAGUUGUUGCGGUUAAAAAGCUCGUAGUUGGAUUUCUGUUGAGAGCAGCCGGUCUGCACUUGGUGCAUGUAUCUGGUUUGAUCUCGGCAUCCUCUCAAAAGACGUUUCUGCGCUUGAUUGCGUGGAGCGGAGUUUGGGACUUUUACUUUGAGUAAAUUAGAGUGUUCAAAGCAAGCCUACGCUCUGAAUAUAUUAGCAUGGAAUAACACGAUAGGACUCUGGCUUAUCUUGUUGGUCUGUGAGACCAGAGUAAUGAUUAAGAGGGAUAGUCGGGGACAUUCGUAUUUCAUUGUCAGAGGUGAAAUUCUUGGAUUUAUGAAAGACGAACUUCUGCGAAAGCAUUUGUCAAGGAUGUUUUCAUUAA
rnacentral:rRNA from 1 species